UCCGUUGAUUCUGACGUUGUGGAUGCAGCCGUUGAAUGCUUGAGGAGGACGUUCGGGUCCUGGACGCAGACCUGUCGCCACCACUUGGGAUGAAACUCCUAAGAAGGAAAACCCAAAGAGUAAAAAAAAGACGUAAAUGGAAAAUCUGGCUCCAAGGACAUUUGCGGUCUGUGCUCCGUUCCUAACAACACAAUACACAUGAUUUAAAACACCACAGAGAAUACACAUACCUCCAAUGUAAAGCUGAGUGUUGUGGUCGACAGACGGCUGGCGUGUCAGCUUGCUCAAGCUCUUGGGGGCGCCGUUGUCCACCACCAGACUGAGGGAACGGUUCUGAAUCAACAGCUCGACUGUGUGGAAAAGCCCGUCAUUCACCGACUCCACACUGUUACAAAAAGACACAGUAAAAAGGAAGGGUUUUCAGAAUGGUUUCUAUUAUCAUAAAUUACAGUAAACAUUCUCUCCUGAUAGAUGGAAAAAAAAAACAAUUAUGAUUGAGCAAACUGUAAAUGUCAGAGAGAAAACACGGUCCAAAUACUUUCAAGUUCAACAGCUUAUUUAUCUUGUCUUACCAAAUGGAAAAUAAAUGGAAAAAAAAGAGAUU